rnacentral:lncRNA from 1 species
UGGAACACGUCGUCCAUUAGGAAACACAUGUUGAAAUCCCAUCCGGAAAUUUCAUCCAGCCCCAUACUGCACACACAAGCUGAAGCUAACACAUUGGCGAACUACAACAUCCAACACACACCACCCAUGGUACACCACUGUCUGUCUGAACCUUCCGAAUAAUAUCCCUCUACCCAACACACUGAGUUCAGCAUUCAACUUAACAAAACGCGUGGCUGAAAUAUCAUACAGGAUGCAGAAACAGUAUAUCCAAGAGAGCGAGUUAUAGUAGUGCAAAUCAGAACUAGGCGAUACGACUAAAAUCAGUUACAUCAUGUUAUGCGACCGAAAGACCUCCUUCCAUAACCUAACACAUCACGAGCAAGGGCAUUGGACCGCAUAGAUUGUGGCAUCAGGCUGAACAGCAUUUGAGCGCCAGCCAACGACGAACACCGCUCUCCGCUGCAU